ACAAAAUUGGCGAUAGAGGGCAUCCCUGAUGGGUACCAUUAUUCAAAUCAAACCAUUCCAAACAUAGAUCCACUCCUACCACUCUAGCGGUUGGGCAUUUAUAUAUUGUUUUUAUAGCCUUCAACAUCCAUCCAUAAAAACCGAAUGUUUCCAAAACUUUAAACAUAUAUCCCCAUCCAACCCUGUCAAAAAAGCAUUCUCUGCGUCCAACGACAGGGUUAUGAGGGGAAUCCCAUUUGCCACCCCCAAGUCCAUUAUAUAAAUUAAACGUCUGGUAUUAAAACAUGCUUGUCUAUUUGACACAAAGCCAAUUCGAUCCCUAUUAACUAGGUACGAAAAGAAGAUUUGUAUCCUAUCUGCCAAAAUUGCUGAAAAUAAUUUAGAAUCUAUGUUAAGAGAGAUUGGACGAUAGUUUUUAAUUUCCUAUUGGUUUUUAUCUUUCUUUACAGCAGUAUAAUAUUUGCCUGAAAAAGUUCCUUUGGGCCUGAGCCCUUAGAGACAACUUCAUUGAAUGAGUUGGUAAAAUGUUCAUUUAAAACCUCCUUAAAAGCCUUAUAGAACCCGUUGGUCAGACUAGUAUUCUUAAAAUUAGCGAGUCUAUCUAUGGAUUUAUCCAUUUCUAAAUUUGGUAUAGAGGAAUUUAGUAUACUAUUUUGAUCUUGGUUGAGCCUGGGAAUAUCUAAAUCCUUCAAAUAACGAAUAAUUUGUUGUUCCCCUGCUUUAUUUGGUAUGUUGUAUAGCUUGUGAUAGAAAUUUUAAAAUACUUUAGCUAUACUUUUUGGG